GUGGGGAAUAUUGCACAAUGGGGGAAACCCUGAUGCAGCGACGCCGCGUGAGUGAAGAAGUAUUUCGGUACGUAAAGCUCUAUCAGCAAGGAAGAAAAUGACGGUACUUGACUAAGAAGCCCCGGCUAACUACGUGCCAGCAGCCGCGGUAAUACGUAGGGGGCAAGCGUUAUCCGGAUUUACUGGGUGUAAAGGGAGCGUGGACGGUAUGGUAAGUCAGAUGUGAAAGCCCGGGGCUCAACCCCGGGACUGCAUUUGAAACUAUCAGACUAGAGUGCAGGAGAGGUAAGUGGAAUUCCUAGUGUAGCGGUGAAAUGCGUAGAUAGUAGGAGGAACACCAGUGGCGAAGGCGGCUUACUGGACUGUAACUGACGUUGAGGCUCGAAAGCGUGGGGAGCAAACAGGAUUAGAUACCCUAGUAGUCC
rnacentral:rRNA from 1 species